rnacentral:rRNA from 1 species
UACGGGGGGGGCAAGCGUUGUUCGGAAUUACUGGGCGUAAAGGGCUCGUAGGUGGCCAACUAAGUCGGACGUGAAAUCCCUCGGCUUAACCGGGGAACUGCGUCCGAUACUGGUUGGCUUGAGUUUGGGAGAGGGAUGCGGAAUUCCAGGUGUAGCGGUGAAAUGCGCAGAUAUCAGGAAGAACACCCGUGGCGAAGGCGGCUCUCUGGAACGCAACUGACGCUGAGACGCGAAAGCGUGGGGAGCAAACAGG